rnacentral:rRNA from 1 species
AGAUUGAACGCUAGCGGGAUGCUUUACACAUGCAAGUCGAACGGCAGCGCGGACUUCGGUCUGGCGGCGAGUGGCGAACGGGUGAGUAAUAUAUCGGAACGUGCCCAGUAGCGGGGGAUAACUACGCGAAAGCGUGGCUAAUACCGCAUACGCCCUACGGGGGAAAGGGGGGAUCGCAAGACCUCUCACUAUUGGAGCGGCCGAUAUCAGAUUAGCUAGUGUGAGGUAAAGCUCACCAAGGCGACGAUCUGUAGCUGGUUUGAGAGGACGACCAGCCACACUGGGACUGAGACACGGCCCAGACUCCGUACGGGAGCAGCAGUGGGGAAUUUGGACAAGUGGGGAAACCUGAUCCAGCCAUCCCGCGUGUGCGAUCGGAAGGCCGUUCGGUUAGUUAAACGCGUACGUUUGGCAAGGAAGAAACGGCGUUAGACGUAAUA